AGUGCGCCGUUUGUUUACUUUGAUUUACUUAACGUUUUUUUAAUUUUUCUUUUUUUGUUUCAUCUUUGUGCUGCCAAUGCUGCUUGCAGUGCUGGCUUUGGAGCAUGACCUUUAAUAGUCGUGCUGUACAUUGUGCCAUGGGCGUCUUGGUAGGUCCGUCGCAGAUCGAGAUGGAGAUCAAAUUGGAGAGUGGAGUCGAGGAAGCUGGACCAUCGAGCAUCGGAAAUGCCUGCAAUUGAACUUCAAAUCCGAUUUUGGCGGCUGCCUCUGUCAAUGAUAUGGCAGAGCUGACCGCACGCCGGACGCGAACGUGAUCAUCAUCGCUCAGUGGACUCUGCGAACUCCGUCGACCUUGCUGCAUUGUUGGUUUGACAAAUUUGUAGCAACUAGCAGCUAGCUGACGAGUUUUCCACUUUGCUUGUGACCACCGGAUGCGGCUAUCAUUCGAGUUACUUCUUUGGUCGUUUGGGGCAGAGGUGUUUACCUCUCCUCUUAGCACUUUGCGUUGAGUCUUUUUGCGUAUACGCAAUAAUUUCCAUAUCACUCGCCUGUUAUCAAUUAUGUGCGCUAAGUCGCUCCACUUUCGAUUUCAAUUCGCAGCACGACGAAUAAACUCUUAAUAAACGUGUGAA